UCAGGCCUAACACAUGCAAGUCGAGCGAUGAAGCACCUUCGGGUGUGGAUUAGCGGCGAACGGGUGAGGAACACGUGAGGAAUCUGCCUUCCACUCUGGGAUAACUCCGGGAAACCGGGGCUAAUACCGGAUACUUUCAACUGGCGGCAUCGCCGGUUGAAGAAAGUUUUUCGGUGGAAGAUGACCUCGCGGCCUAUCAGCUUGUUGGUGAGGUAAUGGCUCACCAAGGCGACGACGGGUAGCCGGCCUGAGAGGGCGACCGGCCACACUGGGACUGAGACACGGCCCAGACUCCUACGGGAGGCAGCAGUGGGGAAUAUUGGGCAAUGGAGGAAACUCUGACCCAGCGACGCCGCGUGAGGGAUGAAGGCCUUCGGGUUGUAAACCUCUUCAGCAGGGAAUAAGCGAAAGGAA
rnacentral:rRNA from 1 species